AAUGAGCAGCGAGGAUUCAAUUAAAACGUGUCGGAUUUAACUUGCCAUAAAUCGAAUUAAUUUCGUUAAGAUUAACAGUUUCAUUUCAAAUAGUUCUUCAUGCAAAAUCAAUUUAAAACCGUGCAUUUCUUAAAUCUAAAAUUAAACCUAAAUACGGAGAAUAAUUAUCACAGAUAACGCGUAGAACCAUCAUAACAGGCCGUACCACUUCCUGAAAAGUACACCAAAUUUCUUAAAGCUCACAUACAAUCGAGAAACGUGUUGCUCAAUUAGAGUUGGUGAUCCUAACCCAACAUUUCUUUAAGAAAUUUGUUAGGGUAUCGGAAGUAUGGCUGAGAAAAAUUCCCCGCAUAACUGCCAGUCGUGUGAGCGACCGGACUCUGCGGAAACUGAGAUGGUCCAAUGCGAAAAGUGUAAACUGUGCGCAUUUUGGAUGCGCUGGUGUCAACGAGCAAAUCCGGCAAUCGGGUACUACCUAUUUGUGUAAGCCAUGCGCGAAGCAAAAGAAAUCCAAGGAGAAUAGGACACGUUCAAAGACCGGCUCGAGGAGGGGAAAAAAACAAAGCUGUCACGUCGGAAAGCGUAACAUCUAGUGUCCGGGCGGCAACGUUAAUGGAACAGGUAAAGCUUAUCGAAGAGGAGCGGAAAAUUGAAGAAGAAGCUUUACUUGAAGA